GCAGGACAUGGUGGCAUAUGCCUGUAAUCCCAGCUGCUUGGGAGGCUGAGACAGGAGGAUUGCAAGUUCAAAGCCAGCCUCAGCAACAGCAAAGUGUUUAGCAACUAAGUGAGACCCUGUCUCUA
rnacentral:sRNA from 1 species